rnacentral:rRNA from 1 species
UACGAAGGGGGCUAGCGUUGUUCGGAUUUACUGGGCGUAAAGCGCACGUAGGCGGAUCGUUAAGUCGGGGGUGAAAUCCUGGAGCUCAACUCCAGAACUGCCUUCGAUACUGGCGAUCUUGAGUCCGGAAGAGGUGAGUGGAACUCCUAGUGUAGAGGUGGAAUUCGUAGAUAUUAGGAAGAACACCAGUGGCGAAGGCGGCUCACUGGUCCGGUACUGACGCUGAGGUGCGAAAGUGUGGGGAGCAAACAGG